rnacentral:rRNA from 1 species
UACGUAGGGUGCAGGCGUUAAUCGGAAUUACUGGGCGUAAAGCGUGCGCAGGCGGUCUUUUAAGUCAGAUGUGAAAUCCCCGGGCUUAACCUGGGAACUGCGUUUGAAACUGGAAGGCUUGAGUGUGGCAGAGGGGGGUGGAAUUCCACGUGUAGCAGUGAAAUGCGUAGAGAUGUGGAGGACACCGAGUGGACGAACGGCAGCCCCUGGGCUAACACGUGACGCUCGAUGCACGAAAGCGUGGGGGAGCAAACAGG